CCAGUUUAAGAAACAUGGUAUACUCCCAAGCAAAGGCAAGAUUUAUAGUUGUGAACUUUGUGACUACACAUGUACAAUGAAAUGUACCUUAAGUCGCCAUAUGCGGAUACACACAGGAGAAAGGCCAGAAGUUUGCGACAUUUGCGGUAAAAAAUUUCCCAUAGGCAGCCUAAGGGCUCACAUGAAGGUUCACAAUACUACUUAUGACUUUCAAUGCAUGUACUGUGAUUACAAAACUCAGUGGGAGCAUCAUCUCAAAACACACAUCCGCCUAAAGCAUACAGAAGGUGAGAAGAGGCCUUACAAGUGCAGCUAUUGUGACCACAGAACUAACUUCAAGGGGAAUUGUGUGAAACACAUCAAAAAUGUCCACCCUGGUAAAGAACCUGCAGUAAUUCACCUUAGUGACAAUGCUUUAUGAUUUUUUUCAAAGGAUGGAAUCAAGAGCAAUAGUUUUGACUGAUGGGAAUGCCUUAUCACAUCUGAUUCUUUUUAGGGUUUAAAUUAACCCCAGUCCCCUGGCAGCUUGUUAACCCUGUUACUACUGCUUUAUUGGUAUCUUACCCUUUUUUUGUAUUUUUUUGUUAUUAAGUUGUGUUUAAGAUGUUUAUGUAAAAGAAAAGGAUGGAAGUAUAAACCUUGAAAUUAAUUAUUGUAUUACAGGUGUAUUACAGGUUUUAAUUCAUUGCUCUUGUAACAUACAUGUAUAAUGCCAUUGCAGUAAGUGUAAGUUUGACAAUUACAUUAAAAAUUUUUGGUACAUAAUUUAAUCAUCAAAUGUAGAGAAAUAAACUCAAUAAAUGUGUGGUAAAAUAAGUUUUCCACUAACACAGGUACACCCGUUAAUAGGCAUUACACAUGUACUUCACAAAUAUUGUUGGCCUUAAGUAGGUUGAUUUCUAAAUUAAGCUUCAAAAUUUCCUUUCUUAAGUUUUUCAUAUUGAAUUUUCUCAAUUUCCUCCUUCAGUAAUUAAUACUUUUUGAAGUUCUUCUCUCUUUGAACAAGAAGUAGUAAACCUCCUUUUGGUUGAUGCAAUGGCUGGCUUAGCUGGUUUGCAUUUGGACAUGUUUCCUGUGGUUUCUGAUAAAUGUCUUGAGUCACUUUCUGUUAGAUAGAUCCUUCUUUGUUUUGGAGUAUAAAUCUUUCCACUUGUGUUUCAACUCUUCCAAGGUUCGAUUAGCUGUACCUACAGCAUCGAUGUAGGCUGUAAUAUUUUGCCAAAGUUUCAUCUUCUGCUCGGCAGUGGUUGAGUUUGUUUUAACAAAUUAAAAUUUGCAGAAGUCACCCACCAUUGCAUUAGGGGAGGACAUGUACAAAACACGGUUUUCGUACGAAUCAAACCGCAUUCUUGGAGGCAUGUCUGCAUUUAAUGCAUCUUUGCUUGAAUUCUCUGGUGGGUUUUCACACAUCUGUGUAAUCAUCUGACUUUGAAGCAAGUCGGCUUUUGUUGUCUCAAGGAUGUCUGUUAGGAUGUCCACAGCUUUUCCAGUGACUUUCCGAAGAUUUCUCUCAGCAGACUGUAAGGUUGCGUCCAUUCCUAUGACCAAUCUCUGAAAAAAGCUUCUACAGUCUGCUUGUGUUGAAAUAAUUCUAGUGUUGUGGGGCAAUUUCUCAGUCCCAGCAGCACGGCUGGUGUCAUGUGGCAUGGUAACUGUGGCCUGUUGGACUUCAGGGUUUCACAUAUUAUGGGUGCCUCAUCAUAAACACUACUGGAAACAGACCCAGGGGGUGAUCUCUCAGUCUCAGCAGGUCAUUUGACUUGUGGCAUGGUUUCUGUGGCUUGUUUGACGUCAGGGUUUGCACCGCACGUCAGGGGAAGUUCACCAUCGGAGUCGGACACUGGUGUCCAAGUUGGUGUUGCACUAGCUUUGCUGGAAACUGCAUCGAUCAUAUCAAAUUCUGAUGAAAAUGCAAGUCAGUUAAGUGGCCAAAGACCAGUUUUCCGGAAUCCAUUCACCGCUGUGCUCAUGUUUGCUGCAGCCAAAAAUGCCCGCCAACAAGCUGACUAACCUGGUACACAGUAACCCUUUCUCCUUGACGGAAAAUACUUUUCUCUUUCAAUGUUGUACCACCAUUUCAGAGAUUUGAAAAAGCUCACAUGUAAGGGUUGCAUUGUGUGAGUGGUGUGAGGAGGGAACAAAAGCAUAACAAAACCAUUAUCUCGAGCAAGGUUUAUAACUUGAAGAUUCUUUGUGUGCGAUGCAUGUCCAUCAAACAGAAGAAGGACCUUGUUUUCAGGAGAUGCCCAAGUGAUGUUGAUGAAGUGAGUCAACCACUGCACAAACUGUUCAAUCCAUCAAUCCAUCCGGAAUCGCUGCAUGCAAAUCAUUGCAUGCAAAUAUGGUUCCCUCAGGCACACAAAAUUGCAGAGAAUUGUUCAUUCUCUUCCGCUUAAAUAUAAGCAUUGGAGGGAGAAACAUUCACGUAGCUGAGUGACAGUACAUGCUGGUUGUAUUGCAGCACUUGUCGUAGCCCCAACUUGACGUUUACCGGUUGUUGGUAUCACUUUUGCAGGGACUGGUACAGUUGAGUGGCUUGUCUCAUUGACAUUGUAUAUCUGGUCUGGGGUCAGCUGGUACAAGUCAAUCAGUUCUUCAUAUUUUUUAAAAAAAUUCUGUUACUACUUCUCGAUUAAAUCCCUGGGCCCAGGCUAAGGAUGUUGCCUCGGAUGGUGUCUGGGCUUUGGGUGGUGUCUCAUGAACAAUUUAAACCACUUCUUCCCAGCAGAAUUAAAUGGUGACUUCAGCCCAUGAGCACAAGCUAUAUCAUAUGCCAACUUCAUAAGGUCCUCCCUGCUUAUUCCAAACAUCAUGGAAUCCAUAAACCCCUUAAGGAAGAAUCCCUCUAGUUUCCUUUGUAAAAAAGAUAUUUGAACCAAAGUGGCACUGAUAUUGUCGGUCUGAUUUGGAGUUCAGUCUGGAACAUUUAUUUGUCAAUUGGUGCAAAAGAAAAGACACAAUGGUUAAAAUUAAAAAAAAUUUUUUUUUGCCUUUUUGGCCCAUGGGUGGGGCAAAAAGCCUUUUGUCAGAUGGCAAAACGCCCAUGAUGGGCGUUUUACCCCAAAUCCAACAACAACCCUUGUUUUGCAUAAACAAACAAUUACUUUUUCUUGAUUUCAGUUAUCUCUUCUUUACAUUAUAACAAUUUUUCCAUUUUCUAUUUUUUUCUAAAUGUCAUACGUAUGUGAGCUCUUUGCACCGAUA